UGUCCCUUUGAAAUUGAGAAGCGCUCGUGCGAACGUACCAGUUUAUCUGUAGACUGUUUGAAGUGUAGUCAGACUCCUGACCCCGGCAGCAGGCGUGCAGACCUCAAGAUCUCUGCCAUUCAAACGUGACUGAAACCUAGUCGCCUUUCUGCCGCCUUCAGGCCGGGUGGUGAGGUAGUACAUCUGUGUUUUAUCCCGCGAACUUUCAGGUGCUGACUGCCACUUUGCGAUCAUCGCCCACCCGGCUGCUCUGCCAGACUGUGUUGUUGCAUCAGUAUCCAACACAGAGACACAUCCUCCUAUCUGCUGCAUAACAGGCGGCCCUGGUCCCCC
rnacentral:lncRNA from 8 species